AGGGGUAUAGCUCAGCUGGUAGAGCGUUGGUCUCCAAAACCAAAGGUCGUCGGUUCGAUCCCGACUGCCCCUGCCA
rnacentral:tRNA from 1 species